UUGGUGAACCAGCGGAGGGAUCAUUG
rnacentral:rRNA from 5 species